UACGUAGGGACCGAGCGUUGUCCGGAAUCAUUGGGCGUAAAGAGCGUGUAGGCGGCCCCUUAAGUCCUGCGUGAAAUCCUGCGGCUCAACCGCAGACGGUCGUGGGAAACUGGAGGGCUAGAGUGCGGGAGAGGAGAGUGGAAUUCCCAGUGUAGAGGUGAAAUUCGUAGAUAUUGGGAAGAACACCGGUGGCGAAGGCGGCGACCUGGUCCGUGACUGACGCUGAGGCGCGAAAGCGUGGGGAGCAAACAGG
rnacentral:rRNA from 1 species